rnacentral:tRNA from 3 species
GACCUGGUGCCGAAGUGGAAACGGAGGUGUCUGCAAAACACCCAUGCAGGGGUUCGAUUCCCCUCCAGGUCU